UAUAUAUACUUUUAUGCAUACAAAUUAUUUUUUAAAUAGGUGGUUUCUAAUAUCUUAUUUGAUCCUCACAAUACCAGAAACACAUUUCUUCAAGUCGAAGUGAUUUUUGGAAGCACUAUAUAUAUAUUUUAUUCAGAUUAAAUAAUCUAGUCUUGAUUUUUAUUCCUAAAAAGAUUUUAAUGAAAUAUCAUGAUAAGAUUUCAAUCACUUUCUUUUGAGUUUGUUCGAAGAAUGAGAAAUUUGAUUAUUUGUCCAAUAUUUGUUUCUCUCUAAUACCCUAUCUAACUAUUAUAAAUGUAAGUAUGAGAGAUUUGAACUAUUUUAUUAUAAGUUUUAUAGUUUAUCAAUUAAUAAAUCUAACAGUUCUUAGUUUAUACAUAAUUUUACACUAUCGGUCAUUGAGGAAUACUUAGGCUUAGAAUAUAUAUAUUUUUUAUCUGAAUAAGUAACUAAACCUCAAAAGCGUAGACUAAUAAAAUAAGUAAUUUGUUUUGUUGUUCUAGAAUUAGAUGACCUUUAGACCAAACUGGUGAAUAUAUACUAGACAAACAUUUAUAUUUCGAGUCUGCAUUUAUAUUCUAUAACAGCUUGAUAUAUUAGAUUUAAACACUAACCUGUUAAUAGAGUUUUCCGGUGAUAUUCUUCAAAAUUUUUAUUUUUAUAUACGUAUCUGAAGUGGAACUAAUUUUUUACAGAUGUCCAUAUUUUUAAAUUGAAACUUAUGUAAUUCACCGAAUUUAUAGAAGAAGUUAAAAAAAGAAACUAAAUUCAUAUCAGUGAUACAAAGACGAUAACAAAAGCACAAUUUUAUAGAGGUAGAAAAUGAAAUCACUUAUGGAGAGUUAGUAAACAAAUCGAGAGAAGAAAACCUAAUCCACUUUCGUCAUUAUACAAUCGAUGUUGCCUAUUUAGUUUUGGUGAUUUGUGUCAGCCGCAAAACUUAAUUUCCUUUUGUGCAUUAGAAAUCUUACAAAUAAUUAAAAUGAGUUGUAAUAUGUUAGCUCUUUAACAACGAUGAUACAUUUAAGAUACCAACAUUUGUAUUCGUCAUUUUAUAAUACAUAAAGAUUGUACUGUUGCAAAAUAUUAAAACCAUUUAAUGAACAAACAUUAUUAUAAAAACUUACUCUGCACAUACACGUGGAUUAUCAUCUAGUCUUAUCUAUUAUUAUAAAGAUAUGUUUCCUUCCUUCCUAGGGGGUCCACGUCAUUCGCCAUGUCAAUAAUUCGAGUCAUCUGGUCGUGACACGCGCCACAAUAAAUGAAACGCGGCGUGUGAAGCUUUUUAUUAGCAUGUGGGUUUGGUUUCGAUUUAAUUGGGCUUUCCUUUAUUUCCUGAUGGGUUUUUAUUGUUAUCUCCGUUUUCUCCACAAAACAUGUCACCGAAACCCUAAGGUUUGAUUCUGUUCAUCUUCCCGAUUCAAAAGAAACACUGGAAACGCUUUGUGGUUGUGUCCAAGCGAAGAGACGUCUUCAACAUAGUCAUCAGCCAUUGUCGAUCAAUCCUUCAAUGAUUCCCCAUUUACUGCCUUCGUCAGUAUCUACCACUAUAAAAAGGCCGGCCAUUGUACCUCCGCCGUUGAGGUCCGCUUGCUUCGGUUCUGGGAAGAAGCUAGGUAUGGGAAGCGGCGAGCUAAUGGAGGUUGACCUGCUCCUCCUCGACGCUAAGGUAGUUCCGUACUGCUUUGAAACCUAAUAUUCUGUUUAACGUAAGUCCAUUUGUUCAUGUCUUGAUUAUCAAAAAUAUUUCCCAGAAGCGUUUGGUUAUCUUAAAAUAUUUGGGAGAUGAUUAAUGGUUUUUUUUUGUUGAUUCUGAGUUGUUCAAAAAAAUUUUAUAUUUGUUCUGAUUGUUUUUCUUUCCGAAGCUUUUUGCUUUGUUUUGUGUUAGUACUGGCGUUGUUCUAUUUUCUGGUGAUCUGAAGGGAAAACACCCCUCAGACUUUCAAGAAAGAGCACCCCAAAAACAAAUUUGUUGCUGUUUGAGUGAUUCUUCUCAUCUUAAAAUUAUUUUGUACCUUACCCUCUCAAUCUGUACAGUUGUACUGCGGUUAAAGUUCUAUGGAUAAUCAGGUUGGAAAUGUAGCUAGAGACCAGUGGAAAUCCAUGUCAUAUGUUGUGUUUCUAAUUCGUAUGUUUGACAAUAAUGAAAGGAUGUAAAUCAAAGAGUGAAACCAUGAGUUCCAAAUCUCUGUUUGCAAAGGGAUGCAAUAAGACAACUGUAUCACUCUAAGGAGGCUUCUCUUUGGGUGGCAUUCUGGGAUCACAUUUAUCAUAUGGUUUUGAUGUUUAUGUAUUUAAUUGCUUAUGUUAUGUGUACACUUGGUCCUUUAAAUAUUUUUGUGCGUUCAUAGGCUUAAGCUUCCACUUCAGUAGGAAAGGCAACACAAAUGUGGACUACAAAUCUGAAGUUCCAUAGAAUAAUAUAGGAUGCUUCAAAGGAUCUUCUGGAUGCUUUUUUUUUCUCUUUAAAUGUUAACUAGGUAUUUUAUCA